rnacentral:rRNA from 1 species
UGAGGAACAUGACCUUCGGCGGGGGAUAGCCGGCCCAACGGCCGGGUAAUACCGCGUACGACCACAUGGGGACAUCCCUGAGUGGUGAAAGCAGCAAUGCGCCGAUGGAGUGCCUCGCGGCCUAUCAGCUAGUAGGUGAGGUAACGGCUCACCAAGGCGACGACGGGUAGCCGGCCUGAGAGGGUGACCGGCCACACUGGGACUGAGACACGGCCCAGACUCCUACGGGAGGNAGCG